rnacentral:lncRNA from 1 species
AGUUGCUCUGAACCACUUGGUCUUAAAUCACAAGUUGAAUUUCCGUCUUGCUGAUAAACACCUGGGGUAGCCUUAGCAGAGCAAAUGAGGCAUGGAGGCUGGUGUCAGCCUCCUUCCAUUGUCCAUUGGUACUGACCUUCAUCACCAAUUAGCUAGGAAAUUGGCCUAACUUAAGGCAUCAAAACAUUGAGACAUCUUGUAAUUUUCCAUUUACCUAAAUUAGCACCAUGAUGUCUACGAUUCCAAAGAAAAUCUCCCCUGUAAGCUUGCAACUUUGCUCCUAAUGAAAUAACCUGUUGAGUGAGCAGCAGACCAGUCCUAGAGCUCUUUGUUUGAAGCUCUAAGGCAGCAUGCAUUCUUCCUUUCUUAGGUUCUGUCAUCACUAAACUGAUAUUAUCACAACGGAUUCCAAACCAAAUGCAGAAUGGCCACAAAAGAGGAAUAAAAAGAAAUCAUAUUUCAUAUGACAUGCGCACCAAAAGGCUGAAAAAUGAAAGAAAAAAAAAAAGAAAAACUAUGGUUUCAGGUAACAGGGAAGCAAAGUGGUCAUCAUUAGGGAAAUAAGAGUAGGGGGGAAUGCUUGACAAUAAAUAACUGAAGAAAAGAAUAAUGAUACAGCAUACUACAGUUAAGAACCAUAUUGACACAGGCAUCAAUGGAACUCUAGUAACAUGUAAAGUACGGGCAAAUAAGAAAACAAGG